AGUCACUUGUCUGCUGGGCUUCCUUUCUGGGGUGCUGGCAAGUGCAGCCAGCACCAGCAUCUUGACAAACAGGCGGCAGCCGGACAGCAGGGGAGGCGAGGGUCAGGCAGAGAAGGUGACACAGCAAGUGACUCGCAGCCCCAUCAGGAACCGUCACAGGAGGUGAUUAAUCUGUGGAGGAGCAGCCCUGGGAGUCAUCACUGACUCAAGCGGGAGCUGCCUCAUGGCUGCUCUGUUCCCUGCCUCACCUGCCUGCUCGCAGGCUGCUUGAAAAGUUCUAGGCUUUGGGCCUGAAUUCUGGACCCAGUCUACAUGCAGAACAUCCCACAAGAGCUUCCCAUUAAGAGGACUUAACCACCAGAUUGGGAACCAGGUAACCGAGAUCCCAAUUCUUGCACCUGCUGGUGGGAGGAGCCUGACCGCCUGUGAAGCAUCCUUCUUCUCUGCUCUCAGAGGCCCAGUUCUCCCAAAGCCCUGCUCCUCAUACAAGUCCCAGCCUCUGCCAGCCACAGAGCAACAGACAACCCUUCUGGGAAGCUUCCUCCCCACUUAACAUGCGUGGGGUGCAGCCUCUUGCCAUUUAAUGCAUGGACAACAAUCAGCAUACAGAUUGAACUGCUG
rnacentral:lncRNA from 1 species